AGACCAUGUUAAACAUCCUUAAAUAAAAGACAAAACUAAUUGGCCCCUGCUCAAAUGUCUUUGGUUGGGGCGACCGCGGGGAAAUAAAAAACCCCCAUGUGGACCGGGAGCACACUACUCCUACAGCCCAGAGUUACAACUCCAAGUAACAGAAUCUCUGACCUACAAGAUCCGGCAUAGCAGCCGAUCAACGGACCGAGUUACCCUAGGGAUAACAGCGCAAUCUUCUUUUAGAGCCCAUAUCGACAAGAGGGUUUACGACCUCGAUGUUGGAUCAGGACAUCCUAAUGGUGCAGCCGC
rnacentral:rRNA from 1 species